rnacentral:rRNA from 1 species
UACGAAGGGGGCUAGCGUUGCUCGGAAUCACUGGGCGUAAAGCGCACGUAGGCGGUUUCUUAAGUCAGGGGUGAAAUCCUGGAGCUCAACUCCAGAACUGCCUUUGAUACUGAAGAUCUUGAGUUCGGGAGAGGUGAGUGGAACUGCGAGUGUAGAGGUGAAAUUCGUAGAUAUUCGCAAGAACACCCGUGGCGAAGGCGGCUCUCUGGGACGGUACUGACGCUGAGACGCGAAAGCGUGGGGAGCGAACAGG